AUGAACGCUAGCGGCAGGCUUAACACAUGCAAGUCGAACGGUAACAGGUCUAGCUUGCUAGAUGCUGACGAGCGGCGGACGGGUGAGUAACGCGUGGGAAUCUGCCUUCUAGGUGGGGGAUAGCCCGGAGAAAUCCGGAUUAAUACCGCAUACGCCCUACGGGGGAAAGCCGGGGAUCUUCGGACCUGGCGCUAGUAGAUGAGCCCGCGUGAGAUUAGCUUGUUGGUGGGGUAAUGGCCUACCAAGGCAACGAUCUCUAGCUGGUCUGAGAGGACGAUCAGCCACACUGGGACUGAGACACGGCCCAGACUCCUACGGGAGGCAGCAGUGGGGAAUAUUGGACAAUGGGCGAAAGCCUGAUCCAGCAAUGCCGCGUGUGUGAAGAAGGCCUGAGGGUUGUAAAGCACUUUCAAUCGUGAAGAAAAGUUGCAGGCUAAUACCCUGUGACCUUGACGUUAACGAUACAAGAAGCACCGGCUAACUCCGUG
rnacentral:rRNA from 1 species